CAACAAGUAGUUUAUUUAAAAUAUUAAUUUUGGAGAUUAAUGAUAAGUUAUUACUUUUUGUUGA
rnacentral:tRNA from 1 species